rnacentral:rRNA from 1 species
UGAGUAACCUGCCCUUCACUCUGGGAUAACUCCGGGAAACCGGGCUAAUACCGGAUACGACCUCGAGCGGCAUCACUUGAGGUGGAAAGUUUUUCGGCUAGGGAUGAGCCCGCGGCCUAUCAGCUUGUUGGUGAGGUAACGGCCCACCAAGGCGACGACGGGUAGCCGGCCUGAGAGGGCGACCGGCCACACUGGGACUGAGACACGGCCCAGACUCCUACGGGAGCA